rnacentral:ncRNA from 2 species
UAAAAGAUGAUGACGGAGAAAAGUAUCUAGUUUAACACCAUUUAGGGAGAAAGUGCCUCGACUGAAAGCACUUUUAUGGAAAAGACUGGAGAAGUUCACCUCCCGAGUCAGCAUCGGGACCAUUUCAAAAAGAAAUGUAAAGAUGUCUCGGCAUAUGCCGUUAUUCGAAUGAAGCGAACACUGAUUUUACAUACAGUGUUUACAAGGGUGGUACCGCGACUAUAACCUCGUCCCUUUU